CUUAAGCAUAUCAAUAAGCGGAGGAAAAGAAACCAACAGGGAUUGCCCUAGUAACGGCGAGUGAAGCGGCAACAGCUCAAAUUUGAAAUCUGGCGCAAGCCCGAGUUGUAAUUUGCAGAGGAUGCUUCUGGGCAGCGGCCGGUCUAAGUUCCUUGGAACAGGACGUCACAGAGGGUGAGAAUCCCGUAUGUGACCGGCGCGCACCCUCCACGUAGCUCCUUCGACGAGUCGAGUUGUUUGGGAAUGCAGCUCUAAAUGGGAGGUAAAUUUCUUCUAAAGCUAAAUACCGGCCAGAGACCGAUAGCGCACAAGUAGAGUGAUCGAAAGAUGAAAAGCACUUUGGAAAGAGAGUUAAAAAGCACGUGAAAUUGUUGAAAGGGAAGCGCUUGCAACCAGACUCCGUGGCGGUGUUCCGCCGGUCUUCUGACCGGUCCACUCGCCGCCGCGGGGCCAACAUCGUCUGGGGCCGCCGGACAAGACUGGAGGAAUGUGGCUCCCUCGGGAGUGUUAUAGCCCUCAGUGAUGCGGCGUGCCCCGGGCGAGGUCCGCGCUUCGGCAAGGAUGUUGGCGUAAUGGUUGCCAGCGGCCCGUCUUGAAACACGGACCAAGGAGUCUAACAUCUAUGCGAGUGUUCGGGUGUCAAACCCCUACGCGUAAUGAAAGUGAACGGAGGUGGGAGCUUCGGCGCACCAUCGACCGAUCCUGAUGUCCUCGGAUGGAUUUGAGUAAGAGCAUAGCUGUUGGGACCCGAAAGAUGGUGAACUAUGCCUGAAUAGGGUGAAGCCAGAGGAAACUCUGGUGGAGGCUCGCAGCGGUUCUGACGUGCAAAUCGAUCGUCAAAUUUGGGUAUAGGGGCGAAAGACUAAUCGAACCAU
rnacentral:rRNA from 1 species